rnacentral:rRNA from 1 species
GAAAGUUGCAAAGAACUUUGAAGAGAGAGUUCAAGAGUGCGUGAAACCGUUCGGAGGUAAACGGGUGGGAGCGCGAAGGUCGAACGGAUGGGGAGGGAUUCAACUUGGCGUGACUGUCUUCCCUGGCAGGGUGGCUCGAUGUCUCUGGCUUAACCGUCAGACUCGUCGGCUGCUGGCUAGGAUUGCUGUUUCUGCCUUGUGCAUUUCCCUGUUCCCCCUCUCCUAGUAGGACGCCGUGACCGGCUGCUGAGGGGAGCCCAGGAGCUGGCGGGGGUAGCUGCGCGGACAAGUGUGGGAUUCGUUCCCUGUGUCCGGUCUGUCUGCCCCCCGCCAUGCAGCGGGUGCUCUCCCCGGCCGAGGAAUGCUGAAGCAGGAUGUUGGUUUACUCCAACCCUGUCCAAGCACGUGCCCACCAUGAACUGUGGGUGCGGGUCGAAAGAGUCCAACGGGUGGCGGCGAGCUGUAGCCGGCCGGUCUUGUGCCGAUCCGGAGAUAGUCUCGUGUCUGCUGCUGUCUGUCAGGGCACUGGCUCCCGCAUCUAUAGGGCGCUGGGGGUCGACGGCGAGUAGGUCGGUUUCCCACCCGACCCGUCUUGAAACACGGACCAAGAAGUCUAACGUGUGGGCGAGUCUUCGGGGACUUUGUGAACCCUAUGAAGGCGUAAUAAAAGUGAAGGUUUCGUGUCGGAGCUUCUCCUUCGGGGGAAGCUUUAACCGAAGCUGCAGUGGGAUCCCCCGUCUAAGGGCGGGGGCGCACCACUGGCCCGUCCUAUGACCGCUUUGCCGGUCGGGCGGAGCAAGAGCCCACGCGUUGGGACCCGAAAGAUGGUGAACUAUGCCUGGGCAGGACGAGGCCAGAGGAAACUCUGGUGGAAGUCCGCAGCGGU